CACGGGGUACUAUAAUAGGAGUAGGCUUUUUUGAUAAUGGGGUAGUGGUUUUUAAAACCCCCCGUGG
rnacentral:tRNA from 1 species